rnacentral:rRNA from 6 species
GGACCAAGGAGUCUAGCAUGUGCGCGAGUCAUUGGGAUUUUUACUAAACCUAAAGGCGCAAUGAAAGUGAAGGUCCGCCUUGCGCGGACCGAGGGAGGAUGGACCGUUCCGAGGGACGGCCUCGCACUCCCGGGGCGUCUCGCUCUCAUCGCGAGAAGAGGCGCACCCAGAGCGUACACGCUGGGACCCGAAAGAUGGUGAACUAUGCCUGGUCAGGACGAAGUCAGGGGAAACCCUGAUGGAGGUCCGUAGCGAUUCUGACGUGCAAAUCGAUCGUCGGAACUGGGUAUAGGGGCGAAAGACUAAUCGAACCAUCUAGUAGCUGGUUCCCUCCGAAGUUUCCCUCAGGAUAGCUGGCGCUCGCUUCUCGCGAGUCUCAUUCGGUAAAGCGAAUGAUUAGAGGCAUUGGGGUCGAAACGGCCUCAACCUAUUCUCAAACUUUAAAUGGGUGAGAUCUCCGGCUUGCUUGAACUGUGAAGCCGCGAGAUAUCGGAUCAGAGUGCCAAGUGGGCCACUUUUGGUAAGCAGAACUGGCGCUGUGGGAUGAACCAAACGCAGAGUUAAAGCGCCUAAAUCGACGCUUAUGGGAUACCAUGAAAGGCGUUGGUAACUUAAGACAGCAGGACGGUGGCCAUGGAAGUCGGA